rnacentral:rRNA from 1 species
UACGGGGGGGGCAAGCGUUGUUCGGAAUUACUGGGCGUAAAGGGCUCGUAGGUGGCCAACUAAGUCAGACGUGAAAUCCCUCGGCUUAACCGGGGAACUGCGUCUGAUACUGGAUGGCUAGAGAUUGGGAGAGGGAUGCGGAAUUCCAGGUGUAGCGGUGAAAUGCGUAGAUAUCUGGAGGAACACCGGUGGCGAAGGCGGCAUCCUGGACCGGUAUUGACGCUGAGGCGCGAAAGCUAGGGGAGCAAACGGG